AGAGUUUGAUCAUGGCUCAGAUUGAACGCUGGCGGUAUGCUUAACACACGCAAGUCGAACGGUAACAGUCCCUCACCUAGAAAUUUCUUAAAAAGAGAUUUGUAGGUGAGGGAGCUGACGAGUGGCGGACGGGUGCGUAAUGUAUAGGAAUCUGCCUGGUAGUGGGGGACAACUCGGAGAAAUUCGAGCUAAUACCGCAUAAGCCCUCCGGGGGAAAACGGGGGAUCUUCGGACCUCGUGCUAUUAGAUGAGCCUAUAUUAGAUUAGCUUGUCGGUGAGGUAAUGGCUUACCAAGGCGACGAUCUAUAGCUGGUCUGAGAGGAUGAUCAGCCACACUGGGACUGAGACACGGCCCAGACUCCUACGGGAGGCAGCAGUGGGGAAUAUUGGACAAUGGGCGAAAGCCUGAUCCAGCAAUACCGCGUGUGUGAAGAAGGCCUGAGGGUUGUAAAGCACUUUCAAUUGGGAGGAAUACCUAAUAGUUAAUAGCUAUUAGAUUGACA
rnacentral:rRNA from 1 species